rnacentral:lncRNA from 1 species
GAUAAAUGCUAAAUUAAAUUUGGUCGUUAAGUUGUUGAGUUGUGAAGUUUUCUGUCAUUUUGUCUAUUCUUGUGUGUUCUUGUUGUUGUGUGACUUGUAACCGUGUUACGUGAUGGUUCGUCUUCACAGAAGCAACCGCCAAGUCCAGAACAAGAAAUUCUGGCUUCAACUUGCAGGAAAUCGAUGGAUCGACAUCAACAAUGCUAAGAAACAUUAAAAGACGCAAAUACAUAGAAGACGAACAACUUUCGCAAGUUUAAUUGUAAGUAUCGCUAUUUUUGAUCCGUAGAUAUUGAUUAAUCAUCGUAUUAUCUAACGUUACCAUGUAAAAUUAAUGCAAUUUGUUUAGUUUUUGUUUUAAGCCACGUAGAUAGAUACAAGGAAAUACUUGUAGUAGUUACG